CAGUGAUGGUUGUGAGUGAAGCGCCUAUCACACUGGGCACUUUUUCCUCCGACCUCCGACAAAUCGGCGGUACCGCCUACCUCCAGCACUUUUUCCGCCGACUGUCGGAGCAAAUUUGCAGCCCGUACCAUUCGGGAAAAAGUCGAAGGAAGGCGGAAGAAACUACCGAGUCAAAUGACAUCCUGUAAACAUUACUGAAAAAAAUAAACUAUUUGCCAUGGUUAAUGUAUUUAUUGCACAUUUUGGAGUAACAUAUGGAACAUAAAUAGACAGUAUUACAAACAAAACACAACUUUAUGGUGUAAGAACAUAGGCUUUCAGUUGACUUCGCGGGGAACCAAACAAUAACAAACUCACAUGGCGACCACUGCAUCAUCAACCAUGGCUUGUAAAGGGCGUGUGAUUUGGAGCAGGGAAGCAGAGACAACCCUCAUAGAAGCAGUGAGGGAGCAUCCAGUAUUGUGGGAUCCUGCACACACCCAAUAUAAGUGCAAAGGACUCAGGCGGAGCUUGUUCACAGCAGUGGCAGACACCCUAAAGUCAUUCUACCCACAACUUGGCACAUUCACUGCUGAUGACGUCCGCAAGAAGUUUGGGAAUCUCAAGGAGUACUACACGCGAGAGAAAAAGAAACACGUGAAACAUAGUGGGGACGGAGGCGACAAAUUACCGAAGUGGGAGUUGUACCCCUUGUUAGAAUUCCUUGAGAGGUGCACCGAGUACACCUCAACCUGUGACAACCUCACACAAACUACUUUCAAUGACAGUGUGUUACCCGCAUCUGUGGUCCUGUCGGUUGAUAACCCAGACAUUGAGGGCAGCGCUUCGGGGAGAGCCAUCGACAGGGACGAGGUGGCAUGUAAUCCUGACACGCUUCCCCAUGCAGACAACUUAAGCACAGCAUCGCCGCAGCGCACUACUAUUAGAGGUGCAUCAGGGGAUGAAGAGCCACCCACCACUCAAAACCAAAGGAAGCGUAAGAGGGGAUCAAGUUAUCCCCCAAAUGACGCUGAGAAUUCUGUCUUCUGGGACAAAAUAAAUGAAGUUUUAAGGCAGAAUAAUGCGGUACAAGAUUAUGCUUAUGGUUUUGGGGUAAUGGUGGUGGCAAGAAUGCGGGAGAAGGGAAUUAGAUGGCAACGAAAAUUUGCUAGGAAAUGCAUGGAUUUGAUGGAAGACAGUGAUGAGGACGAGUAAAGUCCCCUCAUCAGUCUUUUAAUUAUCAAAAUUAGGGAGAUCAUUCUUAUUAGUAGUCUUUUCAUUGAUUUCAUUAUAAUCUUUAUUAUAAGAAUUAUUAUUAUUACGUACUAUUAUUAUUAUUAGCAUUAUUAUUAGUAUUAACUAUUAUUAUUAGUAUUGUUACUGACAUUACCUAUAUAUAAUUGUAUACUUUCAAUUAUACUUCUUAUUCUCAUUAUCAUAAUUAUUAUUAUUAGUUAGUAUUAUUCAUGUAAUGCCCUGAAGUGAUAAGAGU